rnacentral:rRNA from 1 species
UACAGAGGUGGCAAGCGUUGUUCGGAAUUACUGGGCGUAAAGGGCGCGUAGGCGGUUCGAUAAGUCCCGUGUGAAAGCCCCCCGGCUCAACUGGGGAGGGUCACUCGAUACUGAUCGACUUGAAGGCAGAAGAGGGAAGCGGAAUUCCCGGUGUAGUGGUGAAAUUCGUAGAUAUUGGGAAGAACACCAGUGGCGAAGGCGGCUAACUGGUCCAGAUCUGACGCUGAGGUGCGAAAGCGUGGGGAGCAAACAGG